rnacentral:lncRNA from 1 species
GAAAUAGUGGAGAAAAACAUAUGAACUGGACCCUAACAAGACCUAACCAGCAACAAGACCUCGACCAGGACACAAACUCAACACUACGGACUCUGAAACUAAAAUAUGCAAAUUCUAUGGCGUGGAAGGGUUGUAGGACAGGAAAAUGAUAUGGCACUGGACUUAUGGGACGAACACAAGAACACUCAAAACUAAAGAUAGUUAUGAACCUAAUGGUAUACCUAAAGCUUUGAUUACCACUUGAUUUGAACAAGGGUGGUCUGAUCUUCCGAAAGGUUCUGGUAACUAUCGAUUUGGAGGAGAAGAGACACAAAUUGAUCCGCUUUCGAACAACACGAUCCGAAACUCAGCAAAUUCUUUUUAUUAUUUUUUGAUAUUUUUCUUUCAGUUAGGAGCACUAAAGAAGUAACCACAGAAAAUUUAAGCUUAAACAAGUGAAAGACAUGGCCUGUGGAAUUUUCUGAAGUUUGUGAAAAAUGUGAAAAAAACUUCAUGAUGUGAAAACUUAAACUUCAGAGGUGAAUUUGGAGGUUCUAAAAUUUUCAAACCCGCCAAUGGAGGGGACAAAUAGAUCCAAAAAAUUUUUUUGAUCGAUUUUGAUAUAUGGAACAUUGAAAUCGGAGUCCGUAUGCGAAAGUUAUGGCUAUUUUACGAUCGGACUCCGAAUUAGAGGACAAAACGGUCCGAAAGUGGGAAAAAUUUGCGGCGGUGGCCAGAAAUUGAUGGAAACGAUGGGGAAAAACACACGAACUGGACUCUAACAAGACCUAACCAGCAACAAGACCUCGGCCAGGACACAAACUCAACACUGCGAACUCUGAAACUAAAAUAUGCAAAGGCUAUUGCGUGGAAGGGUUGUAGGACACGAAAACGAUAUGGCACUCGACUUAUGGGACGAAACACUCGAAACUAAGGGUAGAUGUGAACCUAACAGUAUACCUAAAGCUUUGAUUACCACUUGAUGAGUCAAGGGUGGCCCGAUCUUCCGAAAGGUUCUGGUAUCUCUCGAUUUGGUGCAGACGAGACACAAAUCGAUCCGGCUUCCGAACAACACGAUCUGAAAGCCUACAAUUCUUUUUAUUUUUUUGAUAUAUUUCUUUGAGUUAGGAGCACCAAAGGAGUAACCACAGAAAAUUUGAGCUUAAACAAGAGAAAGACAUGGCCUGCGGAAUUUUCUAAAGAUUGUAAAAAAUGUGAAAAAAACUUCACGAGGUGAAAACUCAAACUUUGGAGGUGAAUUUUGAGGUUCUACAAUUUUCAAACCCACCAAUGGAGGGGACAGACAGAUCCAAAGAAAUGUUUCAGAUAGAUUUUGAUAUAUGGAAUGUUGAAAUCGGAGUUCGUAUGCGAAAGUUAUGGCUAUUUUACGGACUACGAAUUAGAGGACAAAACAGUCCGAAAGUGGGAAAAAUUUGCGGCGGUGGCUAGAAAUUGAUGGAAACGGUGGGGAAAAGCACACGAACUGGACUCUAACAAGACCUAACCAGCAACGAGACCUCGACCAGAACACAAACUCAACACUGCGGACUCUGAAACUGAAAUAUGCAAAGGCUAUGGCGCGGAAGGGUUGUAGGACAGGAAAACGAUACGGUACUGGACUUAUUGGACGAACACAAGAACACUCGAAACUAAGGGUAGAUGCCAACCUAAUGGUAUACCUAAAGCUUUGUUUACCACUUGAUGAGAACAAGGGUGGCCCGAUCUUGUGAAAGGUUCUAGUAACUCUCGAUUUGGUGGAGACGAGACACAAAUCAAUCCGGCUUCCAAAUAACACGAUGCGAAACACUUCAAUUUUUUUAUUUUUUUGAUAUUUUUCUUUUAGUUAGGAGCACCAAACGAGUAACCACAUAUAAUUUGACUUUUAAACAAGUGAAAGACAUGGCCUGCGGAUUUUUCUUAAGAUUGUGAAAAAUGUGAAAAAAAACUUCACGGGGUGAAAACUCAAACUUUGGAGGUGAAUUUGGAGGUUCUAAAUUUUCAAACCCACCAAAAGCUAGGACACACAGAUCCGAAAUUUUUGUCUGAUUGAUUUCGAUAUAUGGAACAUUGAAAUUGGAGUUCGUAUGUGAAAGUUAUGGCGAUUUUACGAACGGACUCCGAAUUAGAGGACAAAACGGUAAAUGGGAAAAAUUUGCGGUGGUGGCUAGAAAUUGAUGGAAACGGUAGGGAAAAACACACGAACUGGACUCUAACAAGACCUAACCAGCAACAAGACCUCAAUAAGAACACAAACUCGACACUGCGGACUCUGAAACUGAAAUAUGCAAAGGCUAUGGCGCGAAAGGGUUGUAGGAUACGAAAACGAUAUAGCCCUGGAAUUAUGGGACGAACACAAGAACACUCGAAACUAAGGGUGGAUGUGAACCUAACGGUAUACCUAAAGCUUUGAUUACCACUUGAUGAGAACAAGGGUGACCUGACCUUCCAAAAGGUUCUGAUAUCUCUCGAUUUGGUACAGACGAGACACAAAUCGAUCCGGCUUCCGAACAACAUGAUAUGAAACCGUGCAAUUUAUUUUAUUUUUUUGAUAUUUUUCUUUUAGUUAGUAGCACCAAAGGAGUAACCACAGUAAAUUUGAGCUUAAACAAGUGAAAGACAUGGCCUGCGGAAUUUUUUGAAGAUUGUGAAAAAUGUGAAAAAAAACAUUACGAGGUGAAAACUCAAACUUUAGAGGUGAAUUUUGAGGUUCUAAAAUUUUCAAACCCGCCAAUGGAGGGGAUAGAGAGAUCCAAAAAAAUUUUCGAAUCAAUUUUGAUAUAUGGAACGUUGAAAUCGGAGUUCGUAUGCGAAAGUUAUGGCUAUUUUACGAACGGACUACGAAUUAGAGGACAAAACAGUCUGAAAGUGGGAAAAAUCUGCGGUUGUGGCUAGAAAUUGAUGGAAACGGUGGGGAAAAACACACGAACUGGACUUUAACAAGGCCUAACCAGCAACAAGACCUCAACAAGAACACAAACUCAACACUGCAGACUCUGAAACUGAAAUAUGCAAAGGCUAUGGCGUGAAAGGGUUGUAGGACACGAAAAUGAUAUAGCACUGGACUUAUGGUACGAACACAAGAACACUCGAAACUAAGGGUAGAUGUAAACCUAAUGGUAUACCUAAAGCUUUGAUUAGUAACUCUCGAUUUGAUGGAGACGACACACAAAUCGAUCCGGCUUCCGAACAACACGAUCCGAAACAUGCAAUUUUUUUUAUUUUUUUGAUAUUUUUCUUUUACUUAGGAGCACCAAAGGAGUAGCCACAGGAAAAUUGAGCUUAAACAAGUGAAAGACAUGGCCUGCGGAAUUUUCUGGAAAUUGUGAAAAAUGUGAAAAAAACAUCACGAGCUGAAAACUCAAAUUUCGGAGGUGAAUUUGGAGGUUCUAAAAUUUUCAAACCCACCAAUGAGGGGACAGACAGAUCUUAAUUUUUUUCUAAUCAAUUUUGAUAUAUGGAAUGUUGAAAUCGGAGUUCAUAUGCGAAAGUUAUGGCUAUUUUACGAACGGACUCCGAAUUAGAGCACAAAACGGUCCGAAAGUGGGAAAAAUUUGCGGCGGUGGCUAGAAUUUGAUGGAAACGGUGGAGAAAAAUACAUGAACUGGACUCUAACAAGACCUAACCACCAACAAGACUUCGACCAGGACACAAACUCAACACUGCGGACUCUGAAACUGAAAUAUGCAAAGGCUAUGGCGUGGAAGGGUUGUAGGACACGAAAACGAUAUGGCACUGGACUUAUGGGACGAACACAAGAACACUCGAAACUAAGGGUAGAUGUGAACCUAACGGUAUACCUAAUGCUUUUAUUACCACUUGAUGAGAAAAAGGGUGACCUGAUCUUCCAAAAGGUUCUGGUAUCUCUCGAUUUGGUGCAGACGAGACACAAAUCGAUCCGGCUUCCGAACAACAUGAUACGAAACAAUGCAAAUUUUUUCUAUUUUUUUUUGAUAUUUUUAUUUUAGUUAGGAGCACCGAAGGAGUAACCACAGAGAAUUUGAGCUGAAACAAGUUUAAGACAUGGCCUGCGGAAUUUUUUGAAGAUUGUGAAAAAUGUGAAAAAAAACUUCACGAGGUGAAAACUCAAAAUUUGGAGGUGAAUUUUGAGGUUCAAAAAUUUUCAAACCCGCCAAUGGAGGGGACAGACAGAUCCAAAAAAAAAUUUUGGAUCAAUUUUGAUAUAUGGAACGUUGAAAUCAGAGUUCGUAUGCGAAAGUUAUGGCUAUUUUACGAACGGACUACGAAUUAGAGGACAAAACAGUCCGAAAGUGGGAAAAAUUUGCGGUGCUGGCUAGAAAUUGAUGGAAAUGGUAGGGAAAAACACACGAACUGGACUCUAAUAAGACCUAACCAGCAACAAGACGUCAACAAGAACACAAACUCAACACUGCGGACUCUGAAACUGAAAUAUGCAAAGGCUAUGGCGCGAAAGGGUUGUAGAACACGAAAACGAAAAAGCACUGGACUUAUGGUACGAACACAAGAACACUCGAAACUAAGGGUAGAUGUGAACCUAACGGUAUACUAAUGCUUUUAUUACCACUUGAUGAGAAUAAGUGUGACCUGAUCUUCAAAAAGGUUUUGGUAUCUCUUGAUUUGGUGCAGACGAGACACAAAUCGAUCCGGCUUCCGAACAACAUGAUACGAAACCUUGCAAAUUUUUUUUAUUUUUUUUAAUAUUUUGCUUUUAGUUAGGAGCACCGUAGGAGUAACUACAGAAAAUUUGACCUUAAACAAGUGAAAGACAAGGCCUACGGAAUUUUUUGAAGAUUGUGAAAAAUGUGAAAAAAAACUUCACGAGGUGAAAACUCAAACUUUGGAGAUGAAUUUUGAGGUUCUAAAAUUUUUAAACCCGCCAAUGGAGGGGACAGACAGAUCCAAAAAGAAUUUUGGAUCAAUUUUCAUAUAUGGAACGUUGAAAUCGGAGUUCGUAUGUGAAAGUUAUGGCUAUUUUACGAACGGACUACAAAUUAGACGACAAAACAGUCCGAAAGUGGGAAAAAUUUGCGGCAGUGGCUAGAAAUUGAUGGAAACAGUGGGGAAAAACACACGAACUAGACUCUAACAAAGACCUCGACCAGGACACAAACUCAACACUGCGGACUCUGAAACUGAAAUAUGCAAAGGCUAUGGCGCGGAAGGGUUGUAGGACAAGAAAAUGAUAUGGUACUGGACUUAUGGGACGAACACAAGAACACUCCAAACUAAGGGUAGAUGUGAACCUAAUGUUAUACCUAAAGCUCUGGUUACCACUUGAUGAAAACAAGGGUGGCCCGAUCUUCUGAAAGGUUCUAGUAACUCUCGAUUUGGUGGAGACGAGACACAAAUCGAUCCGGCUUCCGAACAACAUGAUCCGAAACCCUACAAUUUUUUUUUAUAUUUUGAUGUUUUUCUUUUAGUUAGGAGCACCAAAGAAGUAACCACAUAAAAUUUGAGCUUAAACAAGUGAAAGAAAUGGCCUGUGGAAUUUUCUGAAGAUUGUGAAAAAUGUGAAAAAACUUCACGAGGUGAAAACUCAAACUUUGGAGGUGAAUUUGCAGGUUCUAAAAUUUUCAAACCAACCAAAAGCUAGGACACACAGAUCUGAAAUUUUUUUCUGAUCGAUUUUGAUAUAUGGAACGUUGAAAUCGGAGUUCGUAUGUGAAAGUUAUGGCUAUUUUACGAACGGACUACGAAUUAGAGGACAAAACAGUCCGAAAGUGGGAAAAAUUUGCGGCGGUGGCUAGAAAUUGAUGGAAACGGUGGGGAAAAGCACACGAACUGGACUCUAAUAAGACCUAACCAGCAACAAGACCUCAACAAGAACACAAACUCAAAACUGCGGACUCUGAAACUGAAAUAUGCAAAGGCUAUGGCGCGAAAGGGUUAGGACACGAAAACGAAAUAGCACUGGACUUAUGGUACGAACAUAAUAACACUCAAAACUAAGGGUAGAUGUGAACCUAACGGUAUACCUAAUGCUUUUAUUACCACUUGAUGAGAACAAGGGUGACCUGAUCUUCCAAAAGGUUCUGCUAUCUAUCGAUUUGGUGCAGACGAGACACAAAUCGAUUCGGCUUCCGCACAACAUGAUACGAAACCCUGCAAUUUUUUUUAUUUUUUUUGAUAUUUUUAUUUUAGUUAGGAGCACCGUAGGAGUAACCACAGAGAAUUUGAGCUUAAACAAGUUUAAGACAUGGCCUGCGGAUUUUUUUGAAGAUUGUGAAAAAUGUGAAAAAAAACUUCACGAGGUGAAAACUCAAACUUUGGAGGUGAAUUUUGAGGUUCAAAAAUUUUCAAACCCGCCAAUGGAGGGGACAGACAGAUCCAAAAAAAAUUUUUGGAUCGAUUUGAUAUAUGGAACGUUGAAAUCAAAGUUCGUAUGCGAAAGUUAUGGCUAUUUUACGAACGGACUACGAAUUAGAGGACAAAACAGUCUGAAAGUGGGAAAAAUUUGCGGUGGUGGCUAAAAAUUGAUGGAAACGGUAGGGAAAAUACACACGAACUGGACUCUAAUAAGACCUAACCAGCAACAAUACCUCAACAAGAACACAAACUCAACACUGCGGACUCUGAAACUAAAAUAUGCAAAGGCUAUGGCGCGAAAGGGUUGUAGGACACGAAAACGAAAAAGCACUGGACUUAUGGUACGAACACAAGAACACUCGAAACUAAGGGUUGAUGUGAACCUAACGAUAUACCUAAUGCUUUUAUUACCACUUGAUGAGAACAAGGGUGACCUGAUCUUCAAAAAGGUUCUGGUAUCUCUCUAUUUGGUGCAGACGAGACACAAAUCGAUCCGGCUUCCGAACAACAUGAUACGAAACCUUGCAAUUUUUUUAUUUUUUUAAUAUUUUGCUUUUAGUUAGGAGCACCGUAGGAGUAACCACAGAAAAUUUGAGCUUAAACAAGUGAAAGACAUGGCCUACGGAAUUUUUUGAAGAUUGUGAAAAAUGUGAAAAGAACAUCACGAGGUGAAAACUCAAACUUUGGAGAUGAAUUUUCAGGUUCUAAAAUUUUCAAACCCGCCAAUGGAGGGGACAGACAGAUCCAAAAAGAAUUUUGGAUCAAUUUUCAUACAUGGAACGUUGAAAUCGGAGUUCAUAUGUGAAAGUUAUGGCUAUUUUACGAACGGACUACGAAUUAGAGGACAAAACAGUCUGAAAGUGGGAAAAAUUUGCGGCGGUGGCUAGAAAUUGAUGGAAACGGUGGCGAAAAACACACGAACUGGACUCUAACAAAGACCUCGACUAGGACACAAACUCAACACUGCGGACUCUGAAACUGAAAUAUGCAAAGGCUGUGGCGCGGAAGGGUUGUAGGACAAGAAAAUGAUAUGGUACUGGACUUAUGGGACGAACAUAAGAACACUCCAAACUAAGGGUAGAUGUGAACCUAAUGUUAUACCUAAAGCUCUGAUUACCACUUGAUGAGAACAAGGGUGGCCCGAUCUUCUGAAAGGUGCUAGUAACUCUCGAUUUGGUGGAGACGAGACACAAAUCGAUCCGGCUUCCGAACAACAUGAUCCGAAACCCUACAUUUUUUUUAUUUUUUUGAUGUUUUUCUUUUAGUUAGGAGCACCAACGAAGUAAUCACAUAAAAUUUGAGCUUAAACAAGUGAAAGACAUGGCCUGUGGAAUUAUCUGAAGAUUGUGAAAAAUGUGAAAAAACUUCACGAGGCGAAAACUCAAACUUUGGAGGUGAAUUUGCAGGUUCUAAAAUUUUCAAACCCACCAAAAGCUAGGACACACAGAUCCAAAAAAUUUUUCUGAUCGAUUUUGAUAUAUGGAACGUUAAAAUCGGAGUUCGUAUGUGAAAGUUAUGGCUAUUUUACGAACGGACUCCGAAUAAGAGGACAAAACGGUCUGAAAGUGGGAAAAAUUUGCGGUGGUGGCUAGAAAUUGAUGGAAACGGUGGGGAAAAACACACGAACUGGACUCUAACUAGACCUAACCAGCAACAGGACCUCAACAAGAACACAAACUCAACACUGCGGACUCUGAAACUGAAAUAUGCAAAGGCUUUGGCGCGAAAGGGUUGUAGGACACGAAAAUGAUAUAGCACUGGACUUAUGGUACAAACACAAGAACACUCGAAACUAAGGGUGGAUGUGAACCUAACGGUAUACCUAAAACUUUGAUUACCACUUGAUGAGAACAAGAGUGACCUGAUCUUCCAACAGGUUCUGGUAACUCUAGAUUUGGUGGAGACGAGAAACAAAUCGAUCCGGCUUCCGAACAACAUCAUAUGAAACCGUGCAAUUUUUUUAUUUUUUUGAUAUUUUUCUUUUAGUUAUGAGCACCAAAGGAGUAACCACAGAAAAUUUGAGCUUAAACAAGUGAAAGACAUGGCCUGUGGAAUUUUUUGAAGAUUGUGAAAAAUGUGAAAAAAACUUCACGAGGUGAAAACUCAAACUUUGGAGGUGAUGUUUGAGGUUCUAAAAUUUUCAAACCCAACAAUGGAGGGGACAGACAGAUCCAAAAAAAAAUUUCGGAUCGAUUUUGAUAUAUGGAACGUUGAAAUCGGAGUUCGUAUGCGAAAGUUAUGGCUAUUUUACGUACGGACUACGAAUUAGAGGACAAAACCGUCCGAAAGUGGGGAAACUUUGCGGUGGUGGCUAGAAAUUGAUGGAAACGGUAGGGGAAAACACACGAACUGGACUGUAAUAAGACCUAACCAGCAACAAGACCUCGACCAGGACAAACUCAACAAUGCGGACUCUGAAACUAAAAUAUGCAGAGGCUAUGGCGUGGAAGGGUUGUAGGACACGAAAACGAUAUGGUACUGGACUUAUGGGACGAACACAGGAACACUCGAAACUAAGGGUAGAUGUGAACCUAAUGGUAUACCUAAAGCUUUGAUUACCACUUGAUGAGAAAAAGGGUGGCCCGAUCUUCCGAAAGGUUCUGGUAACUCUCGAUUUGGUGGAGACGAGACACAAAUCGAUCCGGCUUCCGAACAACACGAUCUGAAACCCUACAGUUGUUUUUUAUUUUUUUGAUAUUUUUCUUUUAGUUAGGAGCACCGAAAGAGUAACCACAUAAAAUUUGAGUUCAGACAAGUGAAAGACACGGCCUGCGGAAUUUUCUGAAGAUUGUGAAAAAUGUGAAAAAAACAUCACGAGGUGAAAACGCAAACUUCGGAGGUGAAUUUGGAGGUCCUAAAAUUUUCAAACCUGCCAAAGGCAGGGACAUACAGAUCUGAAUUUUUUUCUGAUCGAUUUUGAUAUAUGGAACGUUGAAAUCGGAGUUCGUAUGGGAAAGUUAUGGCUAUUUUACGAACGGACUCCGAAUUAGAGGACAAAACGGUCCAAAAGUGGGAAAACUUUGCGGUGGUGGCUAGAAAUUGAUGGAAACGGUGGGGAAAAACACACGAACUAGACUCUAACAAGACCUAACCAGCAACAAGACCUCAACCAAGACACAAACUCAACACUGCGGACUCUGAAACUGAAAUAUGCAAAGGCUAUGGCGCGGAAGGGUUGUAGGACAUGAAAACGAUAUGGCCCUGGACGUUUGGGACGAACACAAGAACACUCGAAACUAAGGGUAGAUGUGAACCUAACGGUAUACCUAAAGCUUUGAUUACCACUUGAUGAGAACAAGGGUGACCUCAUCUUCCAAAAGGUUUGUAACUCUCGAUUUGGUGCAGACGAGACACAAAUCGAUCCGGAUUCCGAACAACACGAUACAAAACCCUACAAUUUUUUUAUUUUUUCGAUAUUCUUCUUUUAGUUAGGAGUAACCACAGAAAAUUUGAGCUUAAACAAGUUAAAGACAUGGCCUGCGGAAUUUUCUGAAGAUUGUGAAAAAUGUGAAAAAAACUUCACGAGGUGAAAACUCAAAGUUCGGAGGAGAAUUUUGAGGUUCUAAAAUUUUCAAACCCCCCUACAACGGGGACAUGCAGAUCCAAAAUUUUUUUCUGAUCGAUUUUGAUAUAUGGAACAUUGAAAUCGGAGUUCGUAUGCGAAAGUUAUGGCUAUUUUACAAACGAACUCUGAAUUAUAGGACAAAACGGUCCGAAAGUGGAAAAAAUUUGCGGCGGUGGCUAGAAAUUGAUGGAAACAAAGGGGAAAAAGACACAAACUGGACUCUAACAAGACCUAUCCAGCAACAAGACCUCAACCAGGACAAACUCAACACUGCAGACUCUAAAACUGAAAUAUGCAGAGGCUAUGGCGCGGAAGGGUUGUAGGACUGGAAAACGAUAUGUUAUUGGACUUAUGGGACGAACACAGGAACACUCGAAACAAAGGGUAGAUGUGAACCUAAUGGUAUACCUAAUGCUUUGAUUACCACUUGAUGAGAACAAAGGUGGCCUGAUCUUCCGAAAGGUUCUGGUAACUCUCGAUUUGGUGGAGACGAGACACAAAUCGAUCCGGAUUCCGAAAAACACGAUCCGAAACCUUGCAAUUGUUUUUUAUUUUUUUGAUAUUUUUAUUUUAGUUAGGAGCACGAAAAGAGUAACCACAUAAAAUUUGAGUUUAAACAAGUGAAAAACAUGGCCUGUGGAAUUAUCUGAAGAUUGUGAAAAAUGUGAAAAAACUUCACGAGGUGAAAACUCAAACUUUGGAGGUGAAUUUGCAGGUUCUAAAAUUUUCAAACCCACCAAAAGCUAGGACACACAGAUCCAAAAAUUUUUUCUGAUCGAUUUUGAUAUAUGGAACGUUGAAAUAGGAGUUCGUAUGGGAAAGUUAUGGCUAUUUUACGAACGGACUCCGAAUUAGAGGACAAAACGGUCCAAAAGUGGGAAAAAAUUGCGGUGGUGGCUAGAAAUUGAUGGAAACGGUGGGGAAAAACACACGAACUAGACUCUAACUAGACCUAACCAGCAACAGGACCUCAACAAGAACACAAACUCAACACUGCGGACUCUGAAACUGAAAUAUGCAAAGGCUUUGGCGUGAAAGGGUUGUAGGACACGAAAAUGAUAUAGCACUGGACUUAUGGUACAAACACAAGAACACUCGAAACUAAGGGUGGAUGUGAACCUAACGGUAUACCUAAAACUUUGAUUACCACUUGAUGAGAACAAGAGUGACCUGAUCUUUCAAAAGGUUCUGGUAACUCUAGAUUUGGUGGAGACGAGAAACAAAUCGAUCCGGCUUCCGAACAACAUCAUAUGAAACCGUGCAAUUUUUUUAUUUUUUUGAUAUUUUUGUUUUAGUUAUGAGCACCAAAGGAGUAACCACAGAAAAUUUGAGCUUAAACAAGUGAAAGACAUGGCCUGUGGAAUUUUUUGAAGAUUGUGAAAAAUGUGAAAAAAACUUCACGAGGUGAAAACUCAAACUUUGGAGGUGAUGUUUGAGGUUCUAAAAUUUUCAAACCCAACAAUGGAGGGGACAGACAGAUCCAAAAAAAAAUUUUGGAUCGAUUUUGAUAUAUGGAACGUUGAAAUCGGAGUUCGUAUGCGAAAGUUAUGGCUAUUUUACGUACGGACUACGAAUUAGAGGACAAAACCGUCCGAAAGUGGGGAAAAUUUGCGGUGGUGGCUAGAAAUUGAUGGAAACGGUAGGGGAAAACACACGAACUGGACUGUAAUAAGACCUAACCAGCAACAAGACCUCGACCAGGACAAACUCAACAAUGCGGACUCUGAAACUAAAAUAUGCAGAGGCUAUGGCGUGGAAGGGUUGUAGGACAGGAAAACGAUAUGGUACUGGACUUAUGGGACGAACACAGGAACACUCGAAACUAAGGGUAGAUGUGAACCUAAUGGUAUACCUAAAGCUUUGAUUACCACUUGAUGAGAAAAAGGGUGGCCCGAUCUUCCGAAAGGUUCUGGUAACUCUCGAUUUGGUGGAGACGAGACACAAAUCGAUCCGGCUUCCGAACAACACGAUCUGAAACCCUACAGUUGUUUUUUAUUUUUUUGAUAUUUUUCUUUUAGUUAGGAGCACCGAAAGAGUAACCACAUAAAAUUUGAGUUCAGACAAGUGAAAGACACGGCCUGCGGAAUUUUCUGAAGAUUGUGAAAAAUGUGAAAAAAACAUCACGAGGUGAAAACGCAAACUUCGGAGGUGAAUUUGGAGGUCCUAAAAUUUUCAAACCUGCCAAAGGCAGGGACAUACAGAUCUGAAUUUUUUUCUGAUCGAUUUUGAUAUAUGGAACGUUGAAAUCGGAGUUCGUAUGGGAAAGUUAUGGCUAUUUUACGAACGGACUCCGAAUUAGAGGACAAAACGGUCCAAAAGUGGGAAAAAUUUGCGGUGGUGGCUAGAAAUUGAUGGAAACGGUGGGGAAAAACACACGAACUAGACUCUAACAAGACCUAACCAGCAACAAGACCUCAACCAAGACACAAACUCAACACCGCGGACUCUGAAACUGAAAUAUGCACAGGUUAUGGCGCGGAAGGGUUGUAGGACAUGAAAACGAUAUGGCCCUAGACGUUUGGGACGAACACAAGAACACUCGAAACUAAGGAUAGAUGUGAAUACCUAAAGCUUUGAUUACCACUUGAUGAGAACAAGGGUGACCUGAUCUUCCAAAAGGUUUUGGUAACUCUCGAUUUGGUGCAGACGAGACACAAAUCGAUCCGGCUUCCGAACAACACGAUACGAAACCCUACAACUUUUUUUUAUUUUUUUGAUAUUUUUCUUUUAGUUAGGAGCACCAAAGGAGUAACCAGAGGAAAUUUGAGCUUAAACAAGUGAAAGACAUGGCUUACGGAAUUUUUUGAAGAUUGUGAAAAAUGUGAAAAAAACUUCACGAGGUGAAAACUCAAAGUUCGGAGGAGAAUUUGGAGGUUCUAAAAUUUUCAAACCUGCCUACAAUGGGGACAUGUAGAUCCAAAAUUGAUCAAGGUCCAACUCGGCAUGGAUUUUAAGCUAU